GUGCUCACUUCGGCAGCACAUAUACUAAAAUUGGAACGAUACAGAGAAGAUUAGCAUGGCCCCUGCGCAAGGAUGNGCGCAAGGAUGACACGCAAAUUCGUGAAGUGUUCCAUAUU
rnacentral:snRNA from 1 species